CUCUCAUGUCUUGCACAUUUUCGACACCCAGAAGGGAUUAGAGCUUCCUCCUUGUGGCAUUUUAUUCCACAUUAUGCGUGUUCCUGGUGGUUUUGGUUAUGAUAAUGAGAAUGAUGUAAAGCAGAGUUCGAACUGGGUUAUUUAUCCCUUGGUGACUACAAGAUUACAAAGUGGUCCAAGGAUGAUCAAACUGGAAGUGCUACCCUAGAGAUGACUGACCAUCAAAAUACCCAUGGAGAUUAUCAUAAUGGUAAUACUAGUGGAUUGUUGCUGGGUAACUUAACUAUAAAAUUUGGCGGCUGGAUCUCAAAUGCCAAAAAAUACAGGUUAUGGAACAUGCACCGUGGCUUGAUGCUUAGCAUCGUCGAUUCUCAUACUUAUCAUGUAUACAAUCCUGCCACCAAUGAAGUUUUUGUCCUACCUAAGUCUCCUUCUCAACUUUCCAGAUAUCAACCCACUGAGCUAGCAACCAUCAUUAAUUUUUCAGAUUGUCUCUUUUCUACUGAAUGUAAUUUCAGUGUCAUUAUUUUUCCAAGGACACAAGAACAGGAAAAGCAUGGUAUUGGUUGAGAUUUAUUCUUCUAACAAGCAUCAAUGGUCUGCGUCAGAGUUCCCCUUGAAAAGGAAGUCUAUUUAGAAAGAUGGAAUGUGUCUGGUGCUGUGUUUCUGGAUAGCACCUUAUAUUUCAUGACGAACAAGAGACAUGUUGUGGCAGUUCAAUUCCAUUCGAGGGACGAAGUAAGCCUUACUCUAUACGCCUGCCUUCUUGUAUCAAAAGGGGCUUUGUUGAAUCACAAUUGGAUGUCUCUCAAGGAUGUCUUUAUCUUUCCAACCGUAAGUUUCCGAACCUAUGGAUUUGGAAACACGAUGGAAGAUCAACAGAUUCUGAUCCUUGGAUCCCGCAGCUUAUAUUCAAGAAAUCGGGUACUUCUGUAUGCCAACCACUUGUUGAGAAAUUUUUUCGUCAAGUUGCGAGAGAACAUAUUUCUCCAUAUAUCAUAAUCAUCCAUCCUGAGGAACCGGUUGUUUUCAUUGACGUGGAAUCAUCCAUCUUUGCAUUCCAUCUUUUUAAUGGUACUGUUGAGAAGAUUGCUGAGCGUUCUAAGGAAGAUAUUCAUUUGGUGGGUACUGCCUUCAUAUAUUCUCCAUGCUUUGCCUCAUUGAAGCGUCUAAAGCCAACAAAUCCAGAUCGUUGUGAUCAAUCUAGUUGACCGAGGAUCUUGUCUGAUACUUCUGAAGAGGACAACAAAGGCAACUGAAGAAGACUGAUGCAUGUAACUAGUAUUCCUGAUAUAGCAUUCUAGACUUGCUGGUCCAAACUAUUUUGAAGGCGCACCUUCUUUUUAUGAAGACAUUGAAUUAUCAUCUAAUUAUACUAUAUUUGUUUGAACUUUUUUGAUACUAUGCAUUUUUAUAUAUCCAAGACCCGUUGAGAUUGGUCUCUGUUAAUGUAAUAUGGUGAAUAUGUGAUUUUUUUUCCUUCACAAUUGAUUGGCCUGAAGAUGCUUUCCUUGGACCAACAGUCUUAGUUCUUAAUGUCUAAUCAUAGGCAUUCCCAUGAAGAGUUUGAAACUUGAAAGAGAUGCUCAUCCUUGUUCUUGAA